ACAGUCGCAACGGUACAUCAACGAAUUACGAAGUUCGAAACUCUUGCAAGCUUUCACUGGACUCUGCGAAUUAAAUCGAAUGAUCGUUUUGGUUUCUGGGGAAAUCGUAAGCGGUGUCCUCGUUAAUACAUUCAUACAAUUGCGCAGAAUUUCCAAACUUUUCCUGGAAUUCAAAGUUUUGCCUCGUUUAUUAAGGAAUAUCGCGCGAAUCUGAUGAAAAUCGAAAAUUUUCAUUUUAAGAGUUGAAAUUUGGAAAUAUGCUUGAAAUAUACACCGUGCAUCUAUUCCCGGAAUUAUUAUAGGAUCUACCGUCUAGUUGUCGAGAAAACAAUUAACGAAAAUCACAUUUUAUGAAGGAUUAUGAAUGGGCUCUUGUGGCAGGCACAAUCCCUGUGAAAUUAUUUGGAUUUAAUGAAAUAGAUACUCCCAAUUUUAAAUAGCCAAAAACGAGAAUAAGAAAAUUAAAUGUUUUUAGAUAUCAAUGAUGUCUUGAGAAACCCUUGUUACCGGUAAAAAUGACUUGAAAAUGGAAAAAGAAAAACACUUAUUUGAGGUUAACGAGUACUAAGGAUAUAAACGGUGGAAGGUUUGACAAUACCAUGAGCGAGCUGGUUUAAAAUAUAGAUAUGCAUACGCACAUAAAUAGAAAACAGCUGUUGUCGCAUUUUGCUUGACGAUUUUGCUACGAAAAUAUUUUAACCGCUAUCAUUGUAUUAAACAUUGAUCAAUCUCAACAAAUAAGUUACACAUAAUUUUAAUAAUUCCGAGAUUAAAUUUUAAUCGUUUCUUUAAUCAUCAAAAGAGCAAUAAAAGUUAAAUUGUUUUUUUGAAUCACAAGUAACGCAUGAUCUUCCUUAAAACCACAUUUUUGGAGAAUAACACAUUUUUUCACGAACAAAAAUAUCAACCCUGAUUUUGGUUCACGAUCAAAGACUAAAGUCGACUCGAUAAACAAAAAGCGCAGAGUGUACUUUUACUUCAAUCAUCAGCUGCAUAAAAACAAAUAUAUUUUUGCAUUGAUCGUUGGUCCAUUCGGUUAGGCAAUCGAAAUUUGUACAAAGCAAAUCUUUCAUAAAUAUUGAUUUUCAUGUUACGGGCUCGCAAAGUGCUCAACAACAAAUUAUCGCCCAUAUGUCAAAACAAUGGAAGAGUCAUGGAGGUACCAAAAGUUGACCAAGAACGAAGUAAUUCAGAAAUUUUUGAUACUUUUAACUCUCAUCUAGAAUGUCGAAUAAGUAGAUAACUCUUGGCUGUGUCUAGUCGUCCGGUUACCGCAUCAGGCUAUUCGUCCGGAUCAAAUAUUGCUAAGAAUUUAUGUCGUGUGUACUUUCGUCACGUGAUAUCCCUUCCGACAAAUUCUUUUUUCGCUAUAGUUGACCAUUUUUACACAGCAAACAGCACUGUACUGCUACGAAUUCGGACGAAUAACAUACGUUCAUUAGUCCAGAUGAAAUCGAUGUGAAAACAGAAAAUAAAAUGAAUAUAGUCGUCCGGAAUAAUGAUAUAUUUUCAGGUCCAUAGGAAAACAGAUAAAUUUUUAAUUAUAUUCAUAAAAACUGUUAACUAUAGGGGGAAAUGAAUUCGCAUGAAAUAAAUUUGUCAAAAGCAAUGUCACCUGACGACUGUUCACGGGAUAAAAAUUCUCAGCAAUAUAUAAUCCGGACGAGUAACGUGAAGAUUCAUGCUCCGUUUGAUAGAUUUACUUACGCAGCAAGGUGGCGAAUCGUUGGGACAAACCGGACAACAGGAAUGAAAGUUUCGUGUCAAUAAGUUUGCCGAUCCGGUGGAAAUAUUUCCGGAUGCAUUUGACGGAAGAGUCUUGCCGGAUGACACGUGGCCCAAGGUUUUGUCAAACAGUCAGGAUUUUCUUGGCACUGUGGCAAAGGACAAUCGUCUUGAAGCCCAUCUCGAUGAACGCAACUGCAACGAGCUUGCUGCACACCACCGCGCACACCUGGACCUUGCUAAAAUGAUAUAAGGAGAUGCAAUAAAUGGAAGACUCUUUUUUUGGACGAAUUCAGCCAGUAUUUUUCAACUUGAAAAUCAUGAGAAAAUAAUGAGUUGCACUCUCAUUCAACUACAAGACAAAGUUCAAUUUUUUUCGAAUUUCGAAUUUCUUGAAAAUAAGGCGCAACAGGUAAAUAGAAAAUCCCACAUCGUUAUCGAGUCUGUCGUAUCCGUCGUAUCUGUCACCAGCGCGUCCUCGCAUUUUUCUUUUGUCGCAAUCAAGACUGGCGACAUCGAAAUCUUCAAAAUCAUCAAAAUCCCGAUCUUGACGAUGCCUUUGUUUACGCUGACCUUUUCCGCCAGUAACGGAACCGUCGUCGCCGGUCCCUUUUUGCUCGAGUGGUAUCAUUAUGAACAUGGGUGGUUGCUUGCUAGAAGCUUUAUUUUUAUUCGCUUUUCUCAUUGUCUGCUGUUCCUGCAGGUUCUUUUUGUACUGACUGCGUGAACGAUAAUGCAUAAUUAAAAUAUUUAAAUAUUUACUUAAUGAAGCCUCAAUUUAAAAAAUGUUACUUUAUUUUCCGAAUGACAAUUAUACCAUUGCACAUAAGAGCUAGUAAAUAUUUUUAUAAUAAUUUUGAAAAUCUCUUGCCGACUAACCUUUCCAGUACAUUCACCGCAGCUUUGAGAUUACAGAUAGCGUCAGCAGCAUCGCCAAUUUGAACAGUUUCCGUCAUUUUAAUAAAUUAUUUUUUUCUUAAUUAUUUGUUAUUUGUACUUGAAAAUUUAUAAUUAAAUUAAUACGGAGAAUUUUGGUUGUUAAAGUUGCCGAAAAUUGUAUGUAGGUCUGACUUGUGGACGAUUAAUUUUGUAAAUGACUAGUUGUGACAGAAAUGUUCCAUUGUUUUCAGGAGCAUGGCUUGCUCCGAUCGAUUCGUAAUUUUUCUUUUUUUUUCAGCACAAUCUCUCCAUGAUGAUUUUCGCCCGAUGAUGACACUUUUCCGUGAUUGAGACUUUUCUCGAUUCAUCAAAUAAAGUUCCUCAUCUUUCAUUUUGAUAAUAAUCGUAGCUCACGACUCUUUCUCUCAAUAAAUUAUUAAAGAAAUUCAAAAUGAGGAUUGUAACACAAGUAAUUUGUGAUGCCGCCGUAAAAACGUUUGUUUUAUUUCUCAGUUUCGCGUAUAUAAACAAGAUUUAGGUGACAAAAAUUUCUAUGCUCAAUUAUGAUGAAUUAUUAUUUAACAGCAACGUCUGCCAGGUUGACGAGGACAAUAAGGUGGCGGAUUGCAACAACUCGAUGCUGGACAGCAUGGUGGUUCUCUCGGGGCUCUCACUUCGGUGUAUUGAAGCUGAGGUCGUUGUGGACAGAUGAGGUCGUCCAAUGACUCCACAAGGUUUCACCGUCCAACCAAUCGUUCCUCCUCGAGUUCUCUUCGCAGCAGGCUUUGAGUUUCCUUUUUUCGGUGGCAUCGUCCUUACGAGAUGUGGAGUUACGGAGAAUUUGGAAAAAUUUUUGCAGCCGUGAUGUUGAUUGACCGAAGAAUUCUUCGUCAAUGACUCGAAAAAGAUUAUACAUCGAGGAGGUGUUCUUGGAGAGAGGGAAAAUGUUCUAUGGCAUGUAGCAGCAUUGUGUUGAUCCGGGACAAGGCGGUUGUUGAUUGCAGCCCAUCGACGGCAUCGUACAUCCCAUUUCCAUGGGGCAGCAAGCAUCUUUCGUCACGUAAGAUUUCACUUGUGGAAGUCUGAAAUUUUAAUUCAAAUUUACAUCCAGGAUUAUGGAUUUCUAGAUUUUUUUUUUAAACAAAACAAAAAAUAUAUAUUCAAACUGUGACGAGCAUUUAAACGCA
rnacentral:lncRNA from 1 species